ensembl:lncRNA
CCGAGGAUUCUUUAGCUAAAGUGCCCUAAAGCGUUUCCCAUUCAUUCCCUAUGGUAGUGCUAAACCACUACGGAUGCAAUAUAUGUAUGGCCACGUAUGCCCUCCGAGGCGCUGUGGCAGGUUUUACGCAAGAGGUGGCGAAGAUAAUAGCCGAAUUACAACGAACCACAACAAACACCCGGGAACAACUCAUCUGAGCCUUAUUUACUUUUUCUGAUUCGUGAAUUUCUUUUACAUUUCAGCAUUUGAUCCGAGCAUUUUACGUUUUGUUACAUUAGCGGUUUUAGCUACGUCAGACACACAACAGCUUCUAAUUCGUAAGGACUGCCAAAGGUAAGUCGUGUUUUUACAUACAAAAUAUGAGUUCUUUAUCAUCGAUUGUCUUUUUUUUUAUUUGUCUUCGGAUCUUUUAAUAAUGCAAUAAUAGUAAAUACAGCGGAUAUUCAGAGUAAUUUUGUUAGAACGUAAUCUGAAUGAAACGUGGACUUGUGGAAACUAUACGUUUCUCAUAUAUAUUUGUAAGUAUUAUAGUAUUAUAGCGCGAUCUAAAUAAACAAGUAUUCUAUGUUUUCACGAAUUAUACAAUGUGAAUGCGUUCAUAAUAAGUCACUUAAAUGAUGUAGCUAUUUCUGUAUAGAUAUUACAGAAUAGUCUGAAAGCUAUAGUUCAUAAUAAAGUUAAUUACAAGAUUGUUAAUUGUUAAUUACUAUUGCAAGUGUUGUCCAGUGUAUAUGUGGGGAGGGGUAUUGGUUUGUCCAGAUGAGGUUGUGUAUAUUUGGGGAUUGGUUAUAGAUCUGUAUAGUUGAAGGUUGUGUGUGUAUAUUAUACAUUGUACUGUAUAAUUAGUACAUUAGCCUGAAAGGUAUCAUUAAAAAUAAUUAAAUAAUUAAUUUUGUUUACUCUUUGCUUCAUCAUUUAGAUUAACAUGUCACACAGGCCUUCGGUGUUUUUCCCUGGCAAGGUCCAAGUUACCUUUCGGAGAGGCGCGUUAGGUUACCUUCUACAAGUCCCCUCUGAUGCCGCCAAGAAGAUCAAAGACAACCCUUCUAUGCAGGACAAGUCUGCUCCUCUGAAGGAAGAGGUUGUCAGGAAGAAUGCCAUCAGCGUUGUCUUACAAAGAGGGGGGGAUGUGUCAGAUAAAGCUGAGGUGUUGGGGGAGUACAUACUACAGUUUGGGAAGUACAGAGGCAAGUCCUUCAGGUGGCUGCUGGAAAAUGAUGUUGGAUACACUAUGUACCUCAUCAAAAAUUUGGAAAAAGAAAAAGAGGCAGGCCAUUUCAGUACAGAGGGGAGCAGCAAAAUCAGUUUGCAGUCCUUUUUGGAAUAUGCCAUGAGCUUCAAAGAUAUUGAGGAGCUUUCAAAGUUUGAGUCUCACAAAACGAAUUCUCCUGCUGUGACCUCAGAUUGUGACACUCUGGUUGGCUUUGGUAAUCGGGCCAAAAGUACAUGGGGAGAAAUAUGGGAGAGCAGAGCUGACGGGUACGCUUUCUUCAUUAUGUCAAGGAAAUGUGGUACAGGUUCAAAAAUGCACAAACUGCAGCAGUACCUGCUAAUGAAAAAAGAGUCAUUGCCAUCAACCGUUACAUCACCAGCCUCUACUGCAACUCCUUACUCCCAAGAUUCACCAGCAUCAGCAGCUGUAGGAGCACCAUCUGUGUCUACUGGCAGAGGUUUUUCUCCAUCAGUUUGGCAGGACUAUUCACUGAAUUAUUCUGCCUAACAAUAUACCUUGGUUAUUAUUUUGGCCUUGUUCUGGCUUUGUUCUGGCUAUGUUCUGGCCAUGUUCCUAAUUGUUAUUUUGCUUGUGUUCUACUAACAAAAUCAAAAGGACAUGUUCAUGACAACAUGUCCAUCAAAACCUCCGUCUCCAUGAGGGUAAGUGUUCAUUUGAGUUCCCUUUUUGCAUGUCCUCUGAAUUUCUGUGCAUGUGCAUGUAUGAUAUAUUUAGUCUACAAGGUCAUUCAAUUGUGUAUUUGUGAAAUAAGUGUACUAUAAGU